rnacentral:rRNA from 1 species
UGGGAAUUUGGACAAUGGGGCAACCUGAUCCAGCAAUGCCGCGUGUGUGAAGAAGGCCUUCGGGUUGUAAAGCACUUUUGUCCGGAAAGAAAACGCCGUGGUUAAUACCCGUGGCGGAUGACGGUACCGGAAGAAUAAGCACCGGCUAACUACGUGCCAGCAGCCGCGGUAAUACGUAGGGUGCAAGCGUUAAUCGGAAUUACUGGGCGUAAAGCGUGCGCAGGCGGUCCGCUAAGACAGAUGUGAAAUCCCCGGGCUUAACCUGGGAACUGCAUUUGUGACUGGCGGGCUAGAGUAUGGCAGAGGGGGGUAGAAUUCCACGUGUAGCAGUGAAAUGCGGUAGAGAUGUGGAGGAAUACCGAUGGCGAGGGCAGCCCCCUGGGCCAAUACUGACGCUCAUGCACGAAAGCGUGGGGAGCAAACAGGAUUCAGAUACCCUGGUAUCCA